UGAACGCUGGCGGCGUGCCUAAUACAUGCACGUCGAGCGAACAGACGAGGAGCUUGCUCCUCUGACGUUAGCGGCGGACGGGUGAGUAACACGUGGAUAACCUACCUAUAAGACUGGGAUAACUUCGGGAAACCGGAGCUAAUACCGGAUAAUAUAUUGAACCGCAUGGUUCAAUAGUGAAAGACGGUUUUGCUGUCACUUAUAGAUGGAUCCGCGCCGCAUUAGCUAGUUGGUAAGGUAACGGCUUACCAAGGCAACGAUGCGUAGCCGACCUGAGAGGGUGAUCGGCCACACUGGAACUGAGACACGGUCCAGACUCCUACGGGAGGCAGCAGUAGGGAAUCUUCCGCAAUGGGCGAAAGCCUGACGGAGCAACGCCGCGUGAGUGAUGAAGGUCUUCGGAUCGUAAAACUCUGUUAAUAGGGAAGAACAAAUGUGUAAGUAACUAUGCACGUCUUGACGGUACCUAAUCAGAAAGCCACGGCUAACUACGUG
rnacentral:rRNA from 1 species